UACGGAGGGUGCAAGCGUUAUCCGGAUUCACUGGGCUUAAAGGGUGCGUAGGCGGGUUGGUAAGUCCGUGGUGAAAUCUCCGAGCUUAACUCGGAAACUGCCGUGGAUACUAUCAAUCUUGAAUAUCGUGGAGGUAAGCGGAAUAUGUCAUGUAGCGGUGAAAUGCUUAGAUAUGACAUAGAACACCAAUUGCGUAGGCAGCUUACUGCGCGAUCAUUGACGCUGAGGCACGAAAGCGUGGGGAGCAAACAGG
rnacentral:rRNA from 1 species